AAAGACCUAGCAAUAGGUAUGCUUAGGGAGGAGCUUGCGUCACAUUAGUUAGUUGGUGGGGUAAAGGCCUACCAAGACUAUGAUGUGUAGCCGGGCUGAGAGGUUGAACGGCCACAUUGGGACUGAGACACGGCCCAAACUCCUACGGGAGGCAGCAGUAGGGAAUUUUCGGCAAUGGAGGAAACUCUGACCGAGCAACGCCGCGUGAACGAUGAAGUAUUUCGGUACGUAAAGUUCUUUUAUUAGGGAAGAAUAAAUGAUGGAAAAAUCAUUCUGACGGUACCUAAUGAAUAAGCCCCGGCUAACUAUGUGCCAGCAGCCGCGGUAAUACAUAGGGGGCAAGCGUUAUCCGGAAUUAUUGGGCGUAAAGGGUGCGUAGGCGGUUAAAUAAGUUUAUGGUCUAAGUGCAAUGCUCAACAUUGUGAUGCUAUAAAAACUGUUUAGCUAGAGUAAGAUAGAGGCAAGUGGAAUUCCAUGUGUAGUGGUAAAAUGCGUAAAUAUAUGGAGGAACACCAGUAGCGAAGGCGGCUUGCUGGGUCUUUACUGACGCUGAGGCACGAAAGCGUGGGGAGCAAACAGGAUUAGAUACCCUGGUAGUCCACGCCGUAAACGAUGAGUACUAAACGUUGGGUAAAACCAGUGUUGAAGUUAACACAUUAAGUACUCCGCCUGAGUAGUACGUACGCAAGUAUGAAACUUAAAGGAAUUGACGGGACUCCGCACAAGCGGUGGAUCAUGUUGUUUAAUUCGAAGGUACCCGAAAAACCUCACCAGGUCUUGACAUGCUUCUGCAAAGCUGUAGAAACACAGUGGAGGUUAUCAGUUGCACAGGUGGUGCAUGGUUGUCGUCAGCUCGUGUCGUGAGAUGUUGGGUUAAGUCCCGCAACGAGCGCAACCCUUAUUGUUAGUUACCAGCACGUAAUGGUGGGGACUUUAGCAAGACUGCCAGUGAUAAAUUGGAGGAAGGUGGGGACGACGUCAAAUCAUCAUGCCCCUUAUGACCUGGGCUACAAACGUGAUACAAUGGCUGUUACAAAGGGUAGCUGAAGCGCAAGUUUUUGGCGAAUCUCAAAAAAACAGUCUCAGUUCGGAUUGAAGUCUGCAACUCGACUUCAUGAAGUUGGAA
rnacentral:rRNA from 1 species